GGGGUAUAAGCUCAGUGGUAGAGCAUUCGACUGCAGAUCGAGGGUCCCCUGUUCAAACCCGGGUGCUACCU